rnacentral:rRNA from 1 species
UGGGGAAUAUUGCACAAUGGGCGAAAGCCUGAUGCAGCGACGCCGCGUGAGGGAUGACGGCCUUCGGGUUGUAAACCUCUUUCAGCAGGGACGAAGCGCAAGUGACGGUACCUGCAGAAGAAGCACCGGCUAACUACGUGCCAGCAGCCGCGGUAAUACGUAGGGUGCGAGCGUUGUCCGGAAUUAUUGGGCGUAAAGAGCUCGUAGGCGGUUUGUCGCGUCGGCCGUGAAAACUUGGGGCUUAACCCCGAGCCUGCGGUCGAUACGGGCAGACUUGAGUUCGGCAGGGGAGACUGGAAUUCCUGGUGUAGCGGUGAAAUGCGCAGAUAUCAGGAGGAACACCGGUGGCGAAGGCGGGUCUCUGGGCCGAUACUGACGCUGAGGAGCGAAAGCGUGGGGAGCGAACAGGAUUAGAUACCCUGGUAGUCCACGCCGUAAACGGUGGGUGCUAGGUGUGGGGGACGUUCACGUCCUCCGUGCCGCAGCUAACGCAUUAAGCA